rnacentral:tRNA from 1 species
UGGCUCAGCUGGUAGAGCAUGGUGUUUGCAACGCCAGGGUUGUGGGUUCAAUUCCCAC